CACGUAGGGGCGAGCGUUGUCCGGAUUCAUUGGGCGUAAAGGGCGCGCAGGCGGCCCGGAAAGUCGGAUGUGAAAACUCGAGGCUCAACCUCGAGCGUGCACCCGAUACUGCCGGGCUUGAGGCAGGUAGGGGAGAUCGGAAUUCCUGGUGUAGCGGUGAAAUGCGCAGAUAUCAGGAGGAACACCGGUGGCGAAGGCGGAUCUCUGGGCCUGUCCUGACGCUGAGGCGCGAAAGCUAGGGGAGCGAACAGG
rnacentral:rRNA from 1 species